CUGGCGGCGUGCCUAAUACAUGCAAGUCGAACGGCUUUUCUAUGGAAGCUUGCUUCCACUGAGAAGAUAGUGGCGAACGGGUGAGGUAACACGUGGGUAACCUGCCCAUAAGAGGGGGGAUAACGAUCCGGAAACGGGUGCUAAUACCGCAUAGUUUUCUUGAUCGCAUGAUUGAGAAAGGAAAGACGGCCUUUGUGCUGUCGCUUAUGGAUGGACCCGCGGCGUAUUAGUUAGUUGGUGAGGUAACGGCUCACCAAGACGAUGAUACGUAGCCGACCUGAGAGGGUGAUCGGCCACAUUGGGACUGAGACACGGCCCAAACUCCUACGGGAGGCAGCAGUAGGGAAUCUUCCGCAAUGGACGAAAGUCUGACGGAGCAACGCCGCGUGAGUGAAGAAAGGGUUUUCGGAUCGUAAAACUCUGUUGUCAGAGAAGAACAAGUUGGAGAGUAACUGCUCCAGCCUUGACGGUAUCUGACCAGAAAGCCACGGCUAACUACGUGCCAGCCGCUGC
rnacentral:rRNA from 1 species